rnacentral:rRNA from 1 species
UACGGAGGGGGCUAGCGUUGUUCGGAAUUACUGGGCGUAAAGCGCGCGUAGGCGGACCUGCAAGUCGGGGGUGAAAGCCCGAGGCUCAACCUCGGAACUGCCUUCGAUACUGCGGGUCUCGAGUCCGGGAGAGGUGAUUGGAAUUCCUAGUGUAGAGGUGAAAUUCGUAGAUAUUAGGAAGAACACCAGUGGCGAAGGCGGCUCACUGGCCCGGUACUGACGCUGAGGCGCGAAAGCGUGGGGAGCAAACAGG